rnacentral:rRNA from 1 species
UACGUAGGUGGCGAGCGUUAUCCGGAAUUACUGGGCGUAAAGGGUGCGUAGGUGGUUUCUUAAGUCAGAGGUGAAAGGCUACGGCUCAACCGUAGUAAGCCUUUGAAACUGGGAAACUUGAGUGCAGGAGAGGAGAGUGGAAUUCCUAGUGUAGCGGUGAAAUGCGUAGAUAUUAGGAGGAACACCAGUUGCGAAGGCGGCUCUCUGGACUGUAACUGACACUGAGGCACGAAAGCGUGGGGAGCAAACAGGAUUAGAUACCCGCGUAGUCCCUGAG